GUAAUUAAUCAACUGCCUUUAUUAUUAGAUAUGAAACAGCACAGAAAAGCACACCAUUGAAAGCCAAAAAACAAGACAACUAAAACCCAGGUGAUUAAUCUCCUUUCUAAGCAAUGGCCUCUCUACUCUAUCCCAAAUCUCUUCUUCAGCUCCAACAUAAAUCCAUAGACCUUCUUGUGAUCAGGAAGAGAGUUGAACACAGACUCCUUUGCCAAGCACCUUUUAGCCCAUUCAAUAAGCUUAGGACACUCAGCCUCUAUGCUGAAAUUUCCACACACCUCAUAGGUAUAAAACCAGCUAUAGAAUGGCAUAAGAGCAACAUCCACAUAGCCCAAAUUUUCACCCCCAAAGAAUGGCUUCUCUCCUAGCUCUCCUUCCAGGAGCUUAAGGGACUCUAUGAAUCCCUGCUUUGCUGCCUCCUGCUCUUCGCCUUUUGUUGCCCAUGUCUUCCUCCCAAGCUCAAAUAUCUGCAUCCCAAAUCCCCGUGUUAUAUAUCACUCAAAUACUAAUGACUAAAAGAUUGAGUUUCACAUUUUUUUUAUAAACUAUACUUUACUCCAUGAUAAACUUCAUUAAAAGAAGAGUACCUUCUUAUCAACAAAAUCAGCCCAGAAGUUAGCUUGAGCUCUCUGAUAAGGAUCAGAGGGAAGCAAUGGAGCUUUGUCCUUCCAGACUUCAUUAAUGUAUUGAACAGCGACAAGAGACUCAGCAACUGGUUUGCCAUUGUGAAUGAGAACAGGGAUCUUCUUGUGAACUGGGUUCAUCUGCAGCAGCAAAUCACUCUUGUUCUUCAAAUCCUCUUCCCUGUACUCAUACUUAAUACCCUUCUCUGCCAAAGCAAUCCUAAUUCUCAUACCAAAAGGGCUUGGCCAGAAGUCCAACAGAAUCACCUCUGCAUUAUUAGCCAUGCUCUUCAAAUUCUUGUUAGAAAUCAAAGAUUUAAGAAACCAAGAUAUAGCUUUAAGAUGUUUGAUGCAAGUCUGGUUUCUCAAGGCAUUUUGGCUUGUGAUGUGGGCUCACCGUCGUCACACCACAGUGUCGUUUUUGAAUUUGUAUCUUCUUCUUUUUUUUUUUUUAGUUUUUCUUUUUCUUGCAUGUAAAGCUAUGGACUGUAUGCUGCAUAAAGUUGGAUUCGCAGUCAAUGAGAAACCGUCUGUUAAGAAUAAUGCCAUAAUCCAUGACGUAAGAGUACUUGUUACCUUUUUUUCCUUUAUUUUAUUUGUUUUUAUGAAAUCCUUUACUUUGGAAGCUUUUUAUAAUUUUAUUUAUGUCGGAUACUUAAAGAAAUGUGUUUACAUGAGUAUUAGAUUUUUAAUAAUUAAUUAUGUAUAAAAAUGGGUAUAAAUUUGGAAAAAAAAAACUUUUAAGUUUUACCUAUUUAUAUGCCUAAUAGAUGACAAAAAAAAGUUAAUUGUUAUUAUAAUAAUACAUUUUUUUAAUUUCAUUUUUAUUUUAUAACUUCAUUUCUUUUAUAAUUAUUUGGACUUAUUUGAAAUAAAUUGUUUAUAAAAGAGUAAUCAUUUUAAUUUGAAAAAUUUAAUAAUUUCAUUCUUGAGUUUUGUCAUUAUUAAGAAAGUGAUUCCUUGAUUUUGUAAUUUGAAUGAUAUAAUCGCUUAGUUCACUACUUAUAGAUUAACCACAAUGGUUAAAAACUGUUUCCAUAUGUGUCUAUCAUAGUCAUAAGUUUACGGUAAAGUUUAAAAUUUACUAGCUAGAACAAUUAUUUCAUUGUAUGUUCAUAAUAAAUAAAAAAGAUAAAUUAUACUUUAGUCCUCUAAUUUAAUGAAAUAUCUAAUUUAGUCUUUAUAUUUUUUAAAAUAUUUAAUUUAAAGUUAACUUACCGUUAUUUUUAUAAAAAUGACUAAAAUACUCUUAACUCCUACCGUUUGAAUUAGAGAAAAGCAGAGAGACUAAACUGCCAAAUAUUGAAUUUAUUGAAUAUUGCAGAGUUGGAUUCACGAUUAACGAUGAACUCCGUGACCCAACUAACUGCCAAGCUUAACCAAGCCUGACGGUGGGCUACGUUGCCGCAUGACGGUCGACGGUAUGGCUUGGUUAGGCAUUGGUAGACACCAAAGGCCGAGCAAUGCUCUUCCGUUGGUGAUCACUCCGUCUUCUUUGUCCACGAGAAUCGAGAGGAGACUAAUUCCUCUCAGAUUCGUCGACUACUAUAAUAGGCGUCUGUCCUGUGAGUGGACGACACCACCUCAUGGGGCAUCACCAAUAACAAGGACAUUACGGUGAAGGGACGUGUGAGUCUCAAAAUCGGUGAUAUCGUGAAGGCAUGCACGAUCUAUUGAAAUUGCACAACAACUUUCUCCAGUGAUCUCAAAGUAACUAGAUUCAGUGUGUAAUUACCACACACGACCUCUACCUUCGUCGAAGAUAGGCACGUUUCAAAUGCUGGGGGCCUGUCACUUUGCCUGUUGAUGGCCAAUGCUAGCCUUCUCGUUGUGUUUGCAACGCCGAACUAACUUUGUGAUAUUCAAUAAAUUAGUAGUUUAUGAAUCAAUAUUAUGGCAAUAGUUUUAUUCAUAUUAAAUCAAAAGAUAACAAUUUCUCUAUGGCAUCGGUAAUCAUAUUAAAAUCUAACUUUUUUCUUUCUAAUUUUUGCAUAUAAUGACAGUUGAAUAUGUCUAUUGCAACAAUUUUCAAGUAAUAAAGGGAACUUUCAUUCAAGUACUUUUUUUACGAUAAAAAAAAAAAAAAAGCAAAUUUCAACAAGUCAAAUAUGAGAAAUUUAUGCUAAGUAACUUUUCCAACAAGUCAAAAAUUUCAUAAUUACUCAAAAUAUAUUCCAAAACAUCCAAAAUUCUACAUAUCUACAAUUAUUUAAUAAACAUAAGAAGAAAUAUGCUAGAAAAUAUAUAAAUCCAAAAAGUUACAAAUUUCAUAAAAAAAAAAAUAAGGCAUGUAUUCUUUGGCCGCUAAUAACUUUUCAAAAUAAUCUAUUGCUAAAUAAUAUUUUUUAUUACUAAAUUUAUUUUUUAAAAUAUUUCUUCUAUUAUUGUUGUGAAUCUAUAAGGAUAAUUCAUACUGUUAUAAUAAGCUUUAAUAGUGUUGUCGUAUAAGUUUUGGAAAAACUUGAUUUUAAUAAUACAAAAACUUAAUAAAUUAUAUUUAUCUAACCAUUUUUAAUUUUAAAAAUAGAAUAUUUGAACAGCAUUAGAAACAUAAGAAAAUUCUCUAUAUUGGAAAGAAAGAAAUCUCUUAUGGCAAUACAAAGAUGAAUCAAAGAAAAAAAAAUAAAGAAAAAUAUCUUCAGGAUUUAUUGUAAAAGAGUGAGUGAGUUGAUAUGACAAUGAUUAAAUUAUCUAUCUCAUUUUAUUCCUUGAAAAGCAAAAAAAAUAUUUUAAGUUAUUUUUCUAAAUUAUCCUGAAAGGCUAAAAUUAGAUAUUUAAUUUUAGAUAUAGUUUAAAUUUAGAUAUCUAAUUUAUAUCUAUACUUAUUUUAGUUAACUAUUUCCAGUUUGUGAAACUAACUGAUUUUAGUCUGCCGAAUCUCAACAUUUUAACGGCUAGUAUUUUUACGAUUAUUACCAUUAAGCUAUUUCUAUAGUUAAGAAAGAAAAUUUUUUUAGACAUCUAUUUGAGAGAUUAAAUCUCUUCAUAAAUGGAUAAUGAAAGUAUUGAAUUUCUGAGAGCAUUAUGACACCUUUGUAUUAAAAACUUUUCAUUCACACUUCUGAUCUUUAUUGGUAAAUAUUCUCUGACACGGAGUAACCAGCCUUGGAUUUUACAGCAGAUUUGGACCGGACCUAAUUUUUGCUGUCGACAUCCGAUGGAGACCCAUGAUAGUUUUUCAGAAAGGAAAUUUCGAGACACACGAUUUUCAAAAAAGUGACGAGAGCCAUAGGUCUCGUCACAAAAUUCGAUAUUUAAAUUCCAUUGUUUAAUGGAUCAAUUUUGUAUUUUAAUUAUUCUUUUGGAUAUUUUCAUAAAAUCUGUGUGUUUGACUUUCUUACUCCUAAUAUCUUUACUUUUAAGCUCUCUUCAUUAAUUUGAAGUAUUUGUAUGCAAGUUUGAAUUAUUAUUGAUAAGAGCUUUGAUAAAAUUAGCUUGCUAAUUUAAUUUCUGCUUUCUAUUAAUUGCAUCUGUUGAAUACUGUUGUAUCUAUUGUUAAGUGCUUUUUAAAAUAUUCCCAGAAAAUUUUUAAAAAACUUAUUUGAAUUCAUCACUUUUUUAUAACAGAAUUAGUAGCCCCAAUAAUUUAAUCUUAAACCGCAAAUAAUGAAAAUAAGUAGAAAUGAACGUUUAGUUAAUUUGAUUCAAAAUUGAACCAAAAUGAAUAAAUAAAAAAUUUAAAUUUAAAAUGCGUUUGAUUUUGUUGUUAUUCGUUAUUUUUUUUAUUUUUUAUUUAAUAACAAAAUAAAAAACUUAUUUAGCUGUUAAUGUGUUAUUUUUAUUACUUGUUAGAAAGUAGUUUUAAGUCAAAAAACUAAAAAUUAAAAAUCACAAAUAUUGAUUUUCUCAUUACAGAUUUUUAAAAAUGUUUAUAUUUCCUAUCAGAUUAUUAUUAAAAAAUUUUAAAUUUUACUUUUAUUAAUAAAAUUUAAUUUUUAAAUAUACAAUCAUCAAUUAAUUAAUAAAAGAGUUGAAUUAAAUUGUUUGCUGGUAAAUAAUUUAUUUUUAAACAGUGAAAAAAUAAGUAAAAGUGAGUAUUUAAACAAUUUAAUUCAAAAUUAAAUUGAAUUGAAUAAAUUAAAAAUUAAAAUUUAAUGUUAUGUUCAUUUUUAUUGAAAUUUUCUGUUUUUUAUUUUUUAUUUGAUAAAAAAUAGAAAAUUUGUUCAACUGUUAGUAUUUUGUUUUUAUUUUUAUUACUUGUAAAUGUGUUGAAUUGAAUUAUUUACUUUUAAAUAAUUUGUAAAUAAAUUAAAAAUCAAAAUUUAAAUAUUUGUAAUAAUCAAUCAAAUUAAGAGAAAAAAUAAUAAAUUUAAAUUAAAUUCGUAUGAUUCGGUAAGUUAAAUUUUUUAACUUUUACGCCUUAUUUUUAAUAUUUUAAUAUUCAACUAAAAUAUUUUAAUUUUGAUUAGAAUUUGAUCUUCAUAUAUUAUUAAAAUUAUAUAGGAUUACUAAUGGAUGGAUUUAAUUUUGCUAUUAUUUUUUUUUAUCAAUACUGAAUUAAAAUCAUCAAAUUUUGUAAAAAUUAAAAUCAAAUACGAAAUCAUACUAAAUUUUUAAUUUGAUUCAAUUUCGAUUAUUUUAAUUUAAAUCAAAUAUUACUAAAUAUAGUUAAAAGCAUUGAAUGAAAGUAAAUAAUCAAAUCAAUAUUGCAUACAAAGUAAUUAAUCAACUGCCUUUAUUAUUAGAUAUGAAACAGCAAAGAAAAGCACACCAUUGAAAGCCAAAAAACAAGACAACUAAAACCCAGGUGAUUAAUCUCCUUUCUAAGCAAUGGCCUCUCUACUCUAUCCCAAAUCUCUUCUUCAGCUCCAACAUAAAUCCAUAGACCUUCUUGUGAUCAGGAAGAGAGUUGAACACAGACUCCUUUGCCAAGCACCUUUUAGCCCAUUCAAUAAG
rnacentral:lncRNA from 1 species